GGAUGGUGACCAGGAUCCGGCCCUGUUUAGCAGGCAACCAGGAGAUUUGAUCAGGAUGGAGGAACAACAUCUUAUAUUCCAUCUGGGUAGCCUCCAAUCUGAUGGCAUGAAUAUGGCUUUCUCCUUCUGAAUCCUGGCGACUGCAACUUUUGUGAGGAAUCAGCGGUUUAUAUGUUAAGAAUUAACAUUUCCACUGUUUGCUGGGCACUGCCAGUUGUGGAUGGCGCAGGCAAGUGCAAAAUUCUGUCAUUAACUCUCUCUGCUCAAGGUGUGAACUUGAACUACAGCAAGUUUUGUUGACAAGGAGCUUCGGCAGCACUUAUGGAAAGAGAAACAGAGCAAUUACUCCAGGUCAAAAAACUAUGAUUCUGAUUAGGCUUUCCGUAACUGCUAUCUGAC